ensembl:lncRNA
CUCUCGGGGAACUGCAGCCUCCCCCUCCGCUUUUACUUGAAUGUCAGACCCGAAACCAUGCAACCUCUACAAGAAAACAUAGGCAGUAGGCUCUUUGACAUCAGUCUUAGCAGCCUAUUUUCAAGUACCACGUCUGACUGGGCAAUGGAAACAAAAUACAAAGUGAACAAAUGGGACUACAUCAAAGUCAAAAAAAAUCCUCUGCACCGCAAAGGAAACCAUCCACAAAACCAAAACACAACCUAACAACUGGGGAGAAGAUUCUUGCAAACCCUAUAUCGGAUAAGGGCUUAAUAUCCAAAACACAGAAAGAACUCAUACAUCUCAACAGCAAAAGAAAUCAACAACCCAAUUAAAAAGGCGGGCAAAAGAUCUGAGCAGUGAUUUCUCCAAAGAAGGUAUACGGAUGGCCAACAGGCAUAUGGAAAGGGACUCAACAUCAUUAGCGAUCAGAGAAAUGCAAAUCACAACUACAAGGAGAUGUCACCUUACUCUGGUCAGAAUGGCUCUCAUUAACAAGACAAGAGACAAGUGUCGGAGAGGAUGUGGAGAGAAGGGAACUCUCCUGCACUGCUGGCGGGAGGGCAGACUGGUGCAGCCAACUAUGGAAAGCAGGAUGGAGUAUCCUCAGAAAACUAAGAAUACAUCUACCAUGUGUAUGAUCCAGCUAGCCCACUGCUGGCUAUUCAUCCAAAGAACUUGAAAACACCAAUGCAGAAAGACACAUGCACCCCUAGGUUCACUGCAGCAUUAUUCACAACAGCCAGAACUUGGAAGCAACCUAGGUGCCCAUUCAGGGGAAGAAUGGGAUGAAGAAGAUGUGGUAUGUAUACACAAUGGAAUGCUACUCGGCCCUAAGAAAUGAUGAGAUCCGACCAUUUGCGACAACGUGGAGGGACCUUGAGGGUAUUAUGUGAAGCGAAAUAAAUCAGAGGGAGAAGUCAAACUCCAGACACCGUGUGAUCUCACUCAUAAGGAGAAGAUAAAAACAACGACAAACGCACACAGAGCAAAGGAGAUUGGAUUGCUGGUUACCAUAGGGGGAGGGGGGAGGGGAGAGAGCCAAAGGGGCGAUGAGGCUCACAUGUGAGGUGACCGACUAUAAUUAGUUUUCGGGUGGUGAACACCAUGUAAUCUACACAGAAUUCGAAAUAUAUUACAACGUACAUCUGAAAGCUAUAUCAUCUUAGAAUCCACUGUUACUGCAAUAAAAUAACAUAAAAUAAAAUAAAAUAAAAUAAAAUAAAAUAAAAUAAAAUAAAAUAAAGACGUGUAGGAGGCUCAAGAGGCUAACAGGCUUUUGAAAAGUUAUUCCAGGGAUUUUUAUGGCUUAGCUCAGGGCGGCAGACACCAGCCUGAGACACAGCUGUGCCACAGCCACUAACUUCAACUAAACUCUAUUCCGACUGGAGGGAAAUCAAAACUACUGUAAUCAUAAUUUCUUGAAGGCUUCACUUUGUGCCAGAUCCUGUGCCCACUGCUUUGCACCAACUGUCUCAUUCAAUCCUCACCUCCAAAAGGUAGGUUACCGUUAUUCUCUCCAUUGGAAAGGUGAGCAGGCGGAAGCAGAAAGAUGGCAAUCUGCCUGGAAUUCACAGAAGGAUUCUCUAGGGUAAUGACAUGACUUUUGGACAAGAUUUCAAGGGUUAACACAUUACGGUGGAGAUGCAGAUCCCAGUAUCACAGAACGUGAAAAACACUGAGUCCUGCCAAAUGUCUUAAAUUAUGGAUCCUCACAAUCUCUUGGCCUGUUUUCUCAGAGGAGGGAAAACCCAGCGUGAAAACCGUUGAUGAGAUGUCUGCAGAGGAGGACUACGUCUGGUCUUUGAGGCCGGGAACUAUCCCAGUAGAUUCUGAGUCAGUGGGUCCAGAGUAGGCCUUGAGCGUCUCUGUUCUUUUCCAAAGCCCCACAGGCUACACUUCCGCGCCCUUGGAGUUGGGAAGUACAGUCAUGCCCUACAGCGGGACGUUUCAGUCAACAACGGGGGUCCCUUCAGAUUAGUCCCAUAUGGCCUAGGUGUGUAGGAGGCUCUGCCAUCCAGGUUUAGGAACUCCGUGGGGUUUGCACAGUCUCGAGAUUGCCUGACCAUGACACACUCCUCAGAACUUAUCCCCACCGUUAAGCAAAGCAUGACUAUACUGCCUUGGAUUCUCCACGGUCCCACACCCUGCACUCUUUAGAUGACUGCACACGCAGAGGGCACCGUGUCUGAGGCAGAGAGCAGCUGGAAUCACAAAAGCUCUCGACAGAGAGUCAAGGAAAGGCGUGCUCUGCUUACACGACUCUCUACUUUUCUCUGGGUCCCAACCAUUUCAUAGCUAAUCUGCUUUUUUUUAACCGAGCCGCUUUGCCAAAAAAAAAAAAAAAAAAGAAAACAGAAAGGGUACCCACAAACACUAAACAAACCAAUACAAACAAUACAUAUUAAAUAAGGCUAACCCCUACUAUGCUACUGAAAAGGCUUUUAUUUCCCCUGGGAUAAUUUGGACAGCAUUAGAUUGUUUUCCCAAAGAGCAGCCAAGUCGAGCGCAGAUUAUUCCUAAUUCCACCAGUGCUGCAGAUGCGGUCAGUAGCAACUGCAAGCCGGAAAGGAACCAAAACAAAAGUUGGGUGUAAUCCAUUCAAGUUCACACGUUUCACCAGGGACAGCCUCCAAGCCUUGAAUACUUAGGUAUGCAUUUAGCCAUUUCUUUAAUCAACCACUACUAACGCCUACUAAAGGCCAGACACUGCUCUAAGUACUUUACGGAUAUGAAAUAUCCUCUCACCUUUACACUCGCCUAUGGAGUGCGUAUGAUAAUCAUCCCCGUUUUACAGAUCAGGAAACUGACACACAGAAUGGUACAGUAACUUGCCCAAGUUCACACAGCCCGUAGGUGGCAGAGCCAGGACCCAUGUGACAGAGUCUGGCUCCAGAGGCCACGUUCUGAAUCACCACGCUCAGUCUCCAAAAACCUACAGAAAGCGCCAGCCUCAAUCGAAAAGUUUUGUUUUCCCCACCCUACAGUCCCUACGCGGCGGCCCCAGUCUCCAGGGCAUUCUUUCAGCUCCUCUGACAGGCCAUACUCCUCCCGUGCCCUGUCCCAACACUCUCCCGCACAAGUCCUCCUUGUCUUUUAGGCAUCUGCUCUCAGCUUCCACAUCACUGCCUGAGUCACAAAGGCUAACAGGAAAUGCCGUAGUUCUCAACACUCAACACAAAAUUGCCUUUACGUAUCUCCUAGGCAAUUGGUUGCUGCCUGUCUGUCCUUUCCAACCGGGCUGUGAGGUCCAGUACGUCAAACACCCUGUCAGUCCUGCUCACCAAGUGUCCAGGCCACUGAACACGCACCGACCAGAGGAAAGGAAGGACUUGUCCCAAAGUCAACUCUCCAGACUUUCUGUGGAAGGAGGGAACGAACGGAGCACCCUCCAGCCUCACGCUUUCUCUUCCAUACUUUCAAGUGUGGGGCAC